GGCAGAGGGUGCAAACGUUGUUCGGAAUUACUGGGCGUAAAGCGCGUGUAGGCGGCUCUGUAAGUCGGGUGUGAAAUCCCACGGCUCAACCGUGGAAGUGCACUCGAAACUACAGGGCUAGAGUCCUGGAGAGGAAGGUGGAAUGCUUGGUAUAGAGGUGAAAUUCGUAGAUAUCAAGCGGAACACCGGUGGCGAAGGCGGCCUUCUGGACAGUGACUGACGCUGAGACGCGAAAGCGUGGGGAGCGAACAGG
rnacentral:rRNA from 1 species